rnacentral:lncRNA from 1 species
GCUAUUGGGCGAAAUAUUCGCAUGUCUGCUAAUAAAGCUCGAAGAGUGAUCGAUCAGAUUCGUGGACGAAAAUACGAUGAAACACUUAUGAUAUUAGAACUAAUGCCUUAUCGAGCCUGUGAAGCCAUUCUGAAGAUAGUGUUUUCUGCUGGUGCAAAUGCUACCAAUAACCUGGGUUUAAGCAAGGGAAGUUUAGUUAUCAGUAAAGCAGAGGUUAAUGAAGGAAAAACAAUGAAAAGGGUAAAACCUGUGGCUCGAGGGCGUGCUCAUCCAAUUAAAAAGCGCACUUGUCAUAUAACCAUCACUGUAAAAGGCUCACCAAGUGAGUCCAUCGUGGAAGCGAGCNCUGCAUAAUCCUUUUCGGACUAAAUAUAUGUACGCCUUAUGAUGAGUUAGUUCCCUUUACCCUUUAUAUUUGAUCAAAAUUUCUGUAUUUCGACAUUAUGUACUUCAUUUAUACCGUGUGACUUAAACCUUGUUCCGAGCACCGUCUCGAGACCUUCCUUUGGCCACUCUUGAGAUUACUCUGCUUUUGUCCAGCCCUGUUUGACCUCCAUUGCUACAUGGGCGUGUUACCUAACCUUGAAAAUGAAGUUUUGGUUUGGGCGAUGUUGAGGGAUAGAGAACUGUGAAUUGGUUGCAUUGUAGAAGAACUAGUGCAUCUUACUACUAUUAUCAAUAACAAUGGACAGAAUCCAUAUAACAAUGAACAGAAUCCAUAUAUCAUACACAAAGUACUAGUGAUGGUUACUAAUUUCAGAAAUUCUUAUAUUGUGUAGGCUAAUUUAAUUUGAAUGACUGGAAAAGUACUUAAGUGACAAAGAGUGAAAGUGAAUGAAUGCUUAGGGUUAUAGUUUUCCUUAUGCUCAUAAUUGUUUUCUUAAUUUAGUUCCCAAUAAUGAACCCCUGAUCUAUUUUGUAAAUACCAAAUUUUCCUCCUUGAUAUAUACUUUUAAUUGUUUAUCAUGAAAUUUAAAUAUUUUUCUCAAAUUAGUUUUCUCGUUGCUAAUUCAAAUAAAUGAUAAAGAGCAUAAAGGAGGACUAAUUUAUCUAAUUGGAAAUUAUGCUUGACGGUUGGUCAUACAUUAAUUCUAAAUUUUAUUGCCCCAUAGUGAUACAAUGCCCUAAUGAAAAAUAAAUUUAAUUGAAAUUGUUGGAAGUUCUACGAUUAAAUAUAAAGUUAAAUUGUAAUAUAUAAAUGGAUAUAAACUNUAUUAAUUUUGUGAAUUUUUUAAUAUAAUAGUAGAAUAUAUUUAUCUUAUAAAGUUUUACUUUUUUCUUGANGUGGUUUAUUGUACUUGAAAAUUUUUCUCAUUUCUUUUAAUUUUAAUCAAACUUUUCUAGUUAAGAUAAAAACCGUUAGUUAAUAUUUUAAACAAGUUUAAAUAUUUCAAUUAAAGAUGAAGAAAGAAAUUUUGAUGGUAAAAUUCUUGAAAAGAACUGAUCCCUGAUUGCAUAACAUUCGUAUUAAGAUCUUCUGAAGAAGGUUCAAAUGAAAGACUAAUUUGUGGACAGCAAGCUAGUGUGCCACCAUCUUCAAAUCAUGGGUACAACGAAAAAGAAUGGUUCAAUUACGUGUUAUACCAGUGCUAGUAAAAUAAAUGUUGAAGCUCUGAAAACAAUGCUUCCAUCAUUCUCAUCACGGAAACUAAUAAUACUUUUUAUGUUUGAUAUUUUAUAUUUUUUAUAUUUAUUGUAGAUCAAAUGUAAUUACUUGAUACUUAAUUUUACACAUAUUAAAAUCCUUAACCUAAAUUUAUGUUUGUUGGUUAGUUUAAUAACAAAUGGAAAUUUAUGUUUGUUAUGUUUAUAACAAACAUAAACUUAUGAAAAAACAUAGGUAAAUUUUGGAGUUUUUUAUAUGUAUAUUAGGUUUGUUCUGUACACCUCAUACUCAUAUGUAAAUAAAUUUGUGUUUGACCUUUAAUCAUUAAACAUGAAAAAAAAACAUUUUUUAUGUCGUUUACAUAUUAAACAUAAAUAUUGACAUCAAAGUUUUUAUAUUUAUCGUCUAUUCGUGAUAAAUUGUUUGUGUUAGUAAUGAAGACAGAUUAAAAUUGUGGUUUUGUAUUUGGAGACCCCAACCUAACUCUUUAAAAAGAUACAAUUUCAAUUUCAAUAAUAAUAAUAAAAAAACUAAAACACUUAUCUCAAUAACAAAUAUUGAAUAUCAUAAGAGAAAAAGACUUAUAAUCACUAAUUAAGACAAAGUUACCUCCAAAACCUUCACAAACAUAAAAAGAAAAAGUUGUUAAUACAAAUAAAUAAUAAAGAAAAAAUUAUACUAAAGAAAUGCUAAAAAGAAAGAACACAAUAUCCUAAUAUAAACAUAUUUAUGUCAAAUGCUUCAAAAACUAACAUAAAGCUCAAUAUUUAUGUUAGAUUGUAUACAAACCUAACAUAAAUAUCUAAUUUUAUAUUAGACUCUAAAAUCUUGAUCAUGUAAAAAAUUAUACUAUUUUCAAGAAAACCACCUUAUAGUAACAUUUCUUAUAUUAAUGUUGUCAUCUAUCACCUAUAAAACACAAAUAUGUUGUUGAUAUAUAUUAUUAUUGUCAAAAUGGUUUAGAACUCGUUGGUCAAUGCGGUCCAGGUUGAACUCGUGAUGAGUCGGGUUGGCUCACCAACCUAUCUAGUUUAAUUUAAUUAUUUAUUAUUUUGUGUUUCAAUAUUAUGGGGAAUGAGGAGGUGGAGGGAACAAGAGGUAGUGGUGGUGGAGGAAGCAACACCCCUGGGGUAGUCGGCUUGGAUGAUCGGCCUGAUGGUUGGUCGGCUUGGAUGUUCAGCCGGCCUGGAUGGUUGGUCGGCCUAAGAAGAGCCGUUCGACCUGAUAGCUGGUUGACCUGGUGGUUGGUCAGCAUGAGAAGAGUAGUUCGACCUGGAUGGACGGCUGGAUGAUGGACCUGGUAGUUGGUCGGCCUAAGAAGAGUCGUUCGAUUCACGGAGUUGAAAAGAUCAUACUACAUGAACUUAUAAUAACAUUUACACCAUGUCACUUUUUACAUUAAUGUUGUCAUCUAUCACCUAUAAAAGAAAACAAUAAAUUUUGUUAAAAUAUUUAAAAGAUCAAUGAUUAAUGUAUUGUUUAGAAUGUAAUAAAAUAAUGGUGAUGCCUUUUAAUUUAACAAAUUUCCCAUAAAAAAUAGAAUUUGUUAAAAUAUUUAAAAAAUCCACGAUUACUUUAUUGUUUAAUGUGAUAAAAUAAUGCGCAUGCCUUUUAAUUUAACAAAUUUCCCAUUACUUUAAACUUUGAAAAAAGGGUCAAUGUACUAUUGUUUUGAAAAUUUUGAACGUGUUAAAGCAUAAAAAGUUUAAUUAACUAGAUAGUUAAAUGACAGAAACUAUAAUAACAAUAUGUAAAUAUAUUUUUUUAUUAAAAUAUCAAAAUAAGCAAAAACGUUACACCGAGUUUAAAAUGGAAGCAUUGUUAUGAACAACAUCAUGAUUAGUAUUAAUUUGGCAGUUAUUAUUAACUUUAAUUGCAUUAAAAGACAACAAUGAGUGAGUUAAUCAAUCGUUAACACUGAAUGAAGAGAAAAAAAAAAAAAAAGACAAAAACCAUGGGAUCCUACAUUGUCACAACAAUGCACGAAUAAUAUUUGUUGAUUCCAAACGCUUCUACUUUACGAUUCAGCUUUCACAGAGGCUGUUCUUCUUCUUAUGCAACAUUUCAUAACACUUUAAAAAGUGUCACUAUCUAUGCUCCACUUUUUACAGCUGAUUCAUUCAUCUCAUUUUCUCCACACUAUUUAAGUCACACAUGUAUCACUUAUGUUUCUGANGAAGAGAACAAACAAUAAAGAAGAGGUGUGAAGAUUAUAUCGACAUAUUUGUCUGUCUAUUUAUCUUUUUAUUUGUCUAUUUAUUUGUAUGUGUUGUUUGCUCGAUCAAACAAUGACGAUAUGAAAGAACAUGAUGGUGGUGAUGGUGAGUGUAGUGGUGAUGAGGUGGUGAUGGGAAAUUCGGUGCUUCAUAAGGUNGGAGGCUCCAAAGGUUGGAUCAAUAAUCAUGAUGUCAACUACACUGAAUGGUCUGCCCAAAACCAUGUCUAUGUUGGAGAUUGGCUUUGUAAGUGCAUGCAUAUAUACUUCUUUAUGUUUCUUACUUUGAUUCCAUGUUCUUCAAAAAUGAUAAUAAGUUUCACCUUAGUUGUUCUAUCUUAUUUUUUUUCUCUAAACCAAAAUCAUGAUUUGUUUCUCUUUAGAUUUUCCUCNCAAUAGAAUUUUGAGAUCGAUCAAUUUUCUUAUAUAAAGUCAUAAUAUUUAGAAACAUGUAUAUUUUUAAAAUGAUUACGUGAGUCAGGGAAGAUUAUUAAUCAAAAUCACAUAUAUGAAAAAAAAUCAUUAGAUUAUUCUAAAACAUUAUGCUAUUUUUUUUUCUUAUUUCACAAGUUAAAUAUGAUAUAAUUUUGUUGGAUCUUCUAAUAUUUAUAAAAGUUAUGUGGUAUUUCGUGAUGAAAAAUACCUUAUUAUUUGGCGAGUUGGAGUAUUGGACAAGAAUUCCACUUAUACUUGCAAAAGAGGGAUUAAAAAGAAAGCAUAGCACUUUUUUUAUCCUUUAGUUAAAUUUAGAAACCUUGCCAUAAUUAAGUGGCAAUUAAACGUGUUAAUUGAUUCUUGAGGUAAAAAUACAAUAAAAUAUUUGGAUAUUUGGAACAGAUUAACCGUAAGUAAUACUAUUGAAAGUAAAUAUAGGUAUUGGUAAAAAGAAGUUAAAGGCAUAGUCAAGAGGAGCAUAAGAUCACAUUANAAAAGAAAAAGAAAAAGAAUCUUCCUUUCAAAAUGUUGAGAAUGGAGCUUUAACAUAAGUUUGUAUAUAUAUGUAGUAUUGUUGUUUGAUUUGGCAAAUAGCAAAAAUAAUACAAGAUCAUACCAUUAUAUGACAUGUGAAUGGACUGAAAUACAGCAUGUUAAUUGGUUUUUUAAUUUAAUUUCUUUCAGCAUAGGUAAAGUGAAUACAUUUAAAUAUAUGUUUUUUGGGUAUAAUUUGUUUUUGUAUCUCAUAAAUUUAAAAUUUGUUUUUUCAUCUAUAUAAUUAAAAAAUGUUCCUUUUAGUUUGAGUUCCAAAUAUAUAACUAUAAUUAAUUUAACCUAAUAAUUAUAAAUUAAUUUCGGGAUGACUUGUUUUCAUUUUGCAUUCUUCUCAUCAAUCUUUUUUCGGAAUGGAUUGAAUGAUUUUUUUUAUUACAAUUUUAGUUAAUUUUUAUGUGUUUGAAUAAAGAAAAAAUAUAUAAAAAAUUGUUAAAAAUUAAACAAAAUUAACUAAAAAAAUAUAAGUGAAUUCAUUCUCAUACUUUCUACACUUAUUUUUCCUUUUGAGUUUUUGAGUACCAAAUUUAACUCAAAAGUAUCCUUUAUUAAAUUUUGGUAACUGUAGAAGACAUUUAGGCAUGGGAGAUAUUAUUAUUAUUUUUUAAAUCACAUCUANUAAAAAGAUAAUUUUUAAUAUGAAAAUUAAAGACAGAUUUAACUCAAAUUAAGGUUGUGAUUUUUUUAAUUUUCAUUCUAUUUAUCUUUAGAGUAUGCAUCUAGCUAGCUCCCUUAAAAUUUGGAUUAGCUAAUGGUUUGUUUUUUUGUCUAUUGUACUUGAUAUUCUGUAAUGUAUUAUUCUCUUUUAAAUAUCAAAACUAGAAAUUCGGAUUAUUUUGUUAUUUUUUUUAGUGUUUCUCUGCUAUACUUUUAGAAAAAUAUCAAAAUUAGAAAUUUGGAUUAUUUUUAUAAUUUUUUUAGUGUUAUUUCUCUGCUAUACUAUUUAAAAAUAUAAAAACUUUAACACAUUAAAAUCAGUGUAGUUUCGAAUCUUACAACACAUAAAAUUUAGCAUCGACUUGUCAUCCUAAACUUGUUGAACAUCGUGUUAGUAUUCGUAAGAGUAAGUAAAAUUAUAAAAUGGAACAUCAUCACUAUGAUAAUUAUGAACUAAUUAAAUAUAGCUUAAAAGAUAAAGUAUACCAAACUUAUGCUUUUUUUAAAGACAGGAGAUUCAGAUAAAUAUUAUUAUAUUUACAUAUAGUUAGUAUUAAAUAAAUUUUUAAGUUUAAUUUAAUUUUAUAAAAAUAAUUAAUAAAAUGAUAUUUGUAUUUCAUUUAUAUAUUUUGAAUUAAUUUUAUUUAUAAUUUGUGUGACAUUUUCAACGAGUAAUUUUCUUUUAUUUAUCCACCAAUGCAUGAUAUACUUGAUUUUGUUCUUACAUAUAUCUGCUGAUGGUAAUGAAUUUGAUAUGAAGUGUUCACGUUUGACAAAAGAUACUUCAAUGUUAUGGAGGUGAACAAGACAAGAUAAGAGAAUUGUAUAGACAGAGACUUCAUAAGCAACGUGACAUGAGGUGGUCGUGUGGGUAAAGGGCAAAUGGGUCAAGUGGCAGAAAAUGCUGAUAACAAAGAAACCGUUAGAAAGGGAAAACGCUUCUUUAACACCAAACUUUUGACACUCUUUUGACAUUGUCAUGUGUCGUCUCUCAAUUGGCCAAUUUUGAAAAGAAAGAAAUGAGGUUUUAAUAAUCAGGCAGGGACAUAUUUGGAAAGUGGAAAAAAAUGAAAUUUCAUUUCACGCUUUCUUUCAUUCACACCCUUUCGUUCAUUCGCUCUUCACUCUCAUAUCACUCUUUCUCGUUCUCUCAUCGCAUUCUCUCUCUCGUUCUCUGAGUUCUUUGUCUCUUUCAUUUGCCUGAGCAUUGUUGUGGGUCUCUUUCAUCCUUUUUUUGUUCGUCUCUUUGGCAUUCACCAUUGUUGCUCGUUGAAGGUUGAUGAUUUUAUAAGGUUGGGGCUUUUCGAAGGUUGAGACUUUUCAAAGGUUGGAACUUUUCGAAGGUUCGGGCUUUUCGUCUUCCCACACUGUCUUUCUCGUACUCCAUGACCGAAUAAAGGUUUUGAAGGUUGUGGCUUUUGACAUUGACCAAGUAAAGAAAUGUGUAUGGGACUAGAUCCUCAACAACAUUAGAAGAAUGGAAGCACGACAGAACUUUGGAUUGUUAUAGGAUUUGUUUUAUUUGUAGAGUUUUUCUUUGUAUGUAGACAAAGAUGGAUUUUUGUCUUUGUAAGAAACAAUGUUAUUUAUGUUAAGAUUGUUAUUGCAAUAUAAUGUUAGCUUUCAUGGAUUGUCCAAACAUGACUUGCUAGUCUCUGCUCACACUUAAACACUAAAAAUAAGUUUCAACCAUGGUAUAAAUGUCAAAAAAUUUGAAAGGUCUUUGAGCCUAUACCAAACUAACUUGCCCAAAUGAAAAAAUUUAGACUAACUUGUUCCAGACCUUGAAGGACUUCAACUAACUUGUUCAAAUGAAAAAAAAAUUGUUUCUUAUCUCGAACAUGGGGUGUCCAAACUUGAUUUCCCACACUAAAAUCACACUUAAACAACAAAAUCACACAAACCGUUGCGUUUAUGCAAAAAAUACAAAUAUUUAGACUAUGGUCCCCUAGGUUACCAGAACUGGCUCUUGCAGUACAACUUUCUGUACAAAUAUGGGAUUUUGUUCGUGUAAUCGUUUACCAAGGUCUUGUAAAUUAUUACAACUUUAUUUUUUGCUCCAGACCUUGCAAAACUUCAACUAACUUGUUCAAAUGAAAAAAAAAAUGGUUUCUUAUCUCGAACAUGGAGUGCCCAAACUUGAUUUCCCACACUAAAAUCACACUUAAACAACAAAAUCACACAAAAACCAUUGUGAUUAUGCAAAAAAUACAAAAAAUUAGACUAUGGUCCCCUAGGUUACCAGAACUGGAGUACAACUUUCUGUACAAAUCCAGGAUUUUGUUCGUGUAAUCGUUUACCAAGGUCUUGUAAACGAUUACAACUUUGUAUUUUGCUUUAGACCUUGCAAAACUUAAACUAACUUGUUUAAAUGAAAAAAUUGUUUCUUAUCUCGAACAUGGGGUGCUUAAACUCGAUUUCCCACACUAAAAUCACACUUAAACAACAAAAUUACACAAAAACCAUUGCAUUUAUGCAAAAAAUACAAAAAUUUAGACUAUGGUCCCCUAGGUUACCAGAACUAGCUCCUGUAAUACAACUUUUUGUACAAAUCCAGGGUUUCGUUCGUGUAAUCGUUUACCAAGGUCUUGUAAACGAUUACAACUAUGGUAUGGAGCAAGAAAAAUAUCAAAAAAUGUUUUAAAGGUUUAAGCACGUGUUUGAUCGCUCGCAUCGUCCUUGUGCUAAAAUUUUUUCUUCUUUUAUAAAAAAAAAUAUCAAAAAAUGUUUUCAAGGUUUAAGCACAUGUGUGAUCAUUCGCAUUGUCCUUGUGCUAAAACCUUUUCUUCUCUUUUCUAAAAAAUAAUAAAUAAAAAUGUUUUAAAUGUUUAAGCACUUCGCAUCGUCCUUGUGCUAAAACCUUUUCUUCAUUUUUUCUAAAAAAUGAUAAAAUAAAAAUGUUUUAAAGGUUUAAGCACAUGUGUGAUGCUCGCAUUGUCCUUGUACUAAAAACUUUUUCUCUUUCUUUUAUAAAAAAUACCAAAAAUAUCUUUUAAAGGUUAAACACAUGUGUGUUCUCUCACAUCGUCUUUGUGCUAAAAACCUUUUCUCUUUCAUUUAUAAAAAUACCAAAAAUAUGUUAUCACUUGCAUCGUCCUUGUGCUAUAUACUCACUCGACCUAGUAUUCAUUACCUUCUUCUUUUUCAAAAAAUAUCAAAAAUAUAAAAUCUUCAAAAAUUAAAUGUCAACACCCAAUUUCGUUCGGAUGACUAAAUAAUAUAUGUUUUUUUUUUUACUUUAUUUUAUUUUAUCUUAUUUUAUGUCUUUUUGUAUUUUAAUCUUGGUUUUAUUUCGUUUUAUGUUAUUUAAUUUUAUUUUUAUAUUAGUUUUUAUUUUAAUUCUAUUUUUAUUUUAUUUUACUUUUUAUUAUUUAGAGUUAUUUCAUUAUCCUUUCAUUAUAUGUUAGUUUAUUUUGUUUAGUUUUAUCUUCUUUUUAUGUUAAACGUUAACAAAAAAAAAAAAUCUAAAAAAGGGAAAAAAGAAAAAAAAAAACAGAAAAAGGAAUAGCAGAUUCUCAGACUAUGCAAGCGCGUAUUGAGCUACAACAUGUCACACCAGGCUAUCCCUCCUGCAACAGUGUAACAUUAUCAGUGCUUGCAUUCCAGCAAGCAAUGCUUAAAGUAUCCCUUACAAUACCAGUACGAAAAAGGCCUUCGUUGCUCUUGCUCAAAAUUCCUAUGCAAAGCUGUCACACGUCAAAUGGGGAAAGUAUAUCUGAUUCGUUUUUUGUCAAUUGAUCUCAUUGAAACAUAAAAAUUGAAAAAGACAAGGAUGAAAUCCCAAGAAAGAGGAUAUGCUCUGAUCUUCCUGGAGGCAGUGCGGCGACAGGGAGGAGCGUCUGGUGGGUAUCAAGUUGCUUCAAUAUCUUUUGGAAAAAAAGGGAAGAAGGAGAAGGUUCCUGGGGCUAACGGAGGCAACACCAUCCUCCCUCACACACACACGACUCUCAAUCCAUCAUUCACUCUCUGCUCUACUCACUCAACGGAGACUCCUUCCCUUUGGCUCGAGACUUUCUUUGCUUCUCUCACCCGUGACCACUCCAACCAUUUUUCCCUUUCACUCCCAAUUCUUCACCUCCAAUGAAUCCAUGAUUCACCAUCACAACAAGAGCACAAGAUCACAACCACUAGCGGGGAGGGCUUCCUGUGAGGUUCAGCGAAAAAGCACACGAUAUUACAAUAGAGCAGAAGACCUCACUUUGGUUGCCAUCCUUGAACCUCCCAUUGUUCAAUCCAAGAGAGCAAAGGGGGCAAGAACCAAAAGAAAAAGUAUUGAAGCUGCGAAGGUAAGUCUUCCUAUACCUAAGCUCUUUGGUCAUGCUCGUCUGUAUGCUCAUGUAUAUGCUUUCCUUGGAGAUGAAUGAGUGAUGUUUAAUCAAUAUAUAUAUAGUUGUGUUGUUUUCUUGGUGACAUCCUCUGUUAAUCAGAACUUCAUCCAAAAUAUGUAGCUUCUUCAUCUAAUAUGGUUAAUACUAGAACAUGGUUACACUUCCCUAACAUCACACUUCGUACCCAUUUACUCACACCCAGAAAACAUUUUGAAAAAGUCAUAAAGAGAGAGUUCUAAAGUUCAUGCUCAAGCAGAAACAGAAGCAUUUUCAUAUUAGUUCUCAUAUCAAAAUAGGAAACAGAGGUAGUUCUUUCUCUCUAGCCGACCAUACCUUCUAGAUCAUCUUUCACCUAUAUCAAACAAACAGACCAAAUCACAAGUCUCAUGCCAUUUUAUUCGAAGUUUGUCCUCUCGAGUAAACCACCACCAUUCAUCUUUUUGGAGUGAUCAUCAAUCAUUUUCCUCAAUCUCCAGUUUCGCUUUGAAUCAUUGAUAGCCGACGGGCUGCAUUUCAUGGCUGCUACCACACCAGCUGCACUCCAUUGUUUUAUCUAAACCUGCAAAGGGAAACAGUACAGAAACCCCCACACCCUAGAUCACCCUAGAUCGCAAACCCCCAAAUAGUGAUCCACGGGAACUCCUCUCGGUUUCAAUGCGCCACCACCACCAUACAUGGUCCUAGGCAAAAGAAGAAAACAGAGAACAGAACAUGUUGCAAACCAAAAUCUGGCUAGCUUGGACUUUGAACGAAAUUGGCGCAAUUGCAAUAGCUGACUAUCGUCUCCGAUUCGCGCAUCGAAGAAGAAGAAGGACGACUAGCGCAAGAGUUUUGAUGAAGGACGGUGUCGCCGGCGAUGAUGCGACGACGAGCCUCGACGGCGGUGUAGGGUGGCGGCGCGGUGGCUGGCUUUGGUUGGAGAGGUGAGUGCGGCGCACGAAAAGGGGAGAGCUGCCUCGGGCUAGCGUUUCCUUCGUUGACGACGUCACCGGUGUGGUUUUGGCCAGCCAUGGGGACGUGCGACCGGGGUGGAGGCUAGGCGGCUCGCGAACUGACGGCGAAGAGGGACACCUCUAAGUUUGCCGGCAGAGUGAGGGAGAGACUUUAGGUCUCUUGCCUGAGUGAGAAGUGUCGAAAUGAGAAAGGAAUAUGGAACCCCUAUGGGUUUCUGAACUUGGGGUGAGACUCCUGGGCCGCUGGGCGAAACCCAACAACAAAAAAUAAUAAACUUUUUUUUACCAACACUGUUUCCACUAAGUCGUACCACAUCUCCUUCCGGCUUAAGCCCAUUCGACCUAGAAAACUUUUUCUCUGUGCACCACGUUUUAUUAUAAUUUCACACCAUCCUUUUUCUUCCGGCUCAAGCCUUGUCAAAAAUCAAAAAGAAACAACUUUUCUGCACCCCUUUGUUCAUAUUUCGCACUCCCAUUCCCUUUGGGCUUCAGCCCAUCUUUUCUACACAAAAUCUCUUCUUCCUUCCACACCCUAUCCUCGCUUCACACCCCUUUUUCUUAUUUAAGCACUACCACCCCUUUUACUUAUUAUUUUUUUUUUCUUAUUAUUAUUUUUAUUUUAUCAUUUAACUUUUAGUUUGUUUAUUUUUACUUUUUAUUUUAUUUACUUAUUUACCCAUUUAUUUUAUUUCUAUUUUUCUAUUCUCUAUUUUAUUUAGUUAUUUACCUAUUUAUUUUAUUUUAUCUAUUUUUAAAUAAAUAUUAAAAUUAGCAAAAAUUAUUUCAAAGGGUUUGAACGCACGUGCGACCAUUCUGUCGGCCUUGUGCUGAAAACCUUUUUCUUCUUCUUUCAAAAAAUCAACCAAAAUUUAUUUUAAAAGGUUUAAGCACACGUGCGACCAUUUCGUCGGUCUUGUGCUGAAAACCUUUUUCUUCUUCUUUCAAAAAUUAAUAAAAAUUAUUUUAAAAGGUUUAAGCACACAUGCGACUGUUCGCGUAAGCUUUGUGCUAAAACCUUUCCCUUUUUUUAUAAAAACAUCAAAACAAAAAAACAUCCUUGUCUAACCAACGAACAAUCUUUCAGCUAGAACUACAUAACCCUAAUUUCUCAGUCUAAUUGAGAAUACGUAGGAGCAAGGUCAACCCUUGUCGGGCACAAAAAAAUAAAAAUAAAAUAUUUUGUUUUCUUUAAAGUUUUAUCUUUUUAGGGGAAAUUAAACAUUUUGCAAUCUGUUAAUACCCAAUUUCGUCCGGAUUAUCUUUCUAAUAUUUUUGUCAUCACAUAUUUAACCCUUUUAUUAUUCAUUCACCUAUUUUCUUUUUUGUUUAUUUUUAUCACCUUCUUACUUAUUUUUGUUUUAUGGUAGUUAUUUUAUUUUACUCUUUCUUUUCAAUGCUUAUUUUCCUUUAGUUUUUAUUUUUUAUUUUAUCCUAUUCUCUUUUUAUUUCAUUUUUGUUUUUCCCUUUACAAUUUUUNNNNNNNNNNNNNNNNNNNNNNNNNNNNNNNNNNNCUUUAGAGUAUGCAUCUAGCUAGCUCUCUUAAAAUUUGGAUUAGCUAAUGGUUUUUUUUUUUUUUUUUUUUUUUUGUCUAUUGUACUUGAUAUUUUGUAAUGUAAUAUUCUCUUUUAAAUAUCAAAACUAGAAAUUCGGAUUAUUUUAUGAUUUUUUUAGUGUUUCUCUGCUAUACUUUUAGAAAAAUAUCAAAAUUAGAAAUUCGGAUUAUUUUAUAAUUUUUUUAGUGUUAUUUCUCUGCUAUACUAUUUAAAAAUAUAACAACUUUAACACAUUAAAAUCAGUGUAGUUUGAAUCUUACAACACAUAAAAUUUAGCAUCUGGACUUGUCAUGUUAGUAUUUGUAAGAGUAAGUAAAAUUAUAAAAUGGAACAUCAUCAUUAAGAUAAUUAUGAACUAAUUAAAUAUAGCUUAAAAGAUAAAGUAUACCAAACUUAUGCUUUUUUUAAAGAUAGGAGAUUCAGAUAAAUAUUAUUAUAUCUUUACAUACAGUUAGUAUUAAAUAAAUUUUAAGUUUAAUUUAAUUUUAUAAAAAUAAUUAAUAAAAUGAUAUUUAUAUUUCAUUUAUAUAUUUUGAAUUAAUUUUAUUUAUAAUUGGUGUGACAUUUUCAACGAGUAAUUUUCUUUUAUUUAUCCACCAAUGCGUGAUAUACUUGAUUUUGUUCUUACAUAUAUCUGUUGAUGGUAAUGAAUUUGAUAUGAAGUGUUCACGUUUGACAAAAGAUACUUCAAUGUUAUGGAGCUGAGCAAGACAAGAUAAGAGAAUUGUAUAGACAAAGACUUCAUAAGCAACGUGACAAGAGGUGGUCGUGUGGGUAAAGGGCAAAUGGGUCAAGUGGCAGAAAAAAUGUUAGUAACAGAGAAACCAUUAGAAAGGGAAAACGCUUCAUUAACACCAAACGAGAGUCGACUCUCAAUUGGCCAAUUUUGAAAAGAUAGAAAUGAGGUUUUAAUAAUCAGGCAGGGACAUAUUUGGAAAGUGGAAAAAAAAUGAAAUUUCAUUUUACGCUUUCUUUCAUUCGCACCCUUUUGUUCAUUCGCUCUUCACUCUCAUAUCACUCUCUCUCAUUCUCUCAUCGCCACUCUCUCUCGUUCUCUGAGUUCUCUGUCUCUUUCAUUUGCCUGAGCAUUAUUGUGGGUCUCUUUCAUCUUCCUUUUUUUGUUCGUCUCUUUGGCAUUCACCAUUGUUGCUCGUCGAAGGUUGAUGAUUUUGUAAGGUUGGGGCUUUUCGAAGGUUGAGACUUUUCAAAGGUUGGAAAUUUUCGAAGGUUAGUGCUUUUCGAAGGUUAGGGUUUUUCGUCUUCCCACACUGUCUUUUCCCGCACUCCAUGACCGAGUAAAGGUUUCGAAGGUUGUGACUUUUGACAUUGACCGAGUAAAGAAAUGCGUAUGCGACUAGACUCUCGACAACAUUAGAAGAAUAGAAGCACGACACAACUUUGGAUUGUUAUAGGAUUUGUUUCAUUUGUAGAGUUUUUCUUUGUAUGUAAACAAAGAUGGAUUUUUGUCUUUGUAAGAAACAAUGAUAUUUAUGUACAAAUUGUUAUUGCAAUAUAAUGUUAGCUUUCAUGGGUUGUCCAACCAUGGUAUAAAUAUCAAAAAAUUUGAAAGGUCUUUGAGUCUAUACCAAACUAACUUGUCCAAAUGAAAAAAUUUAGACUAACUUGUUCUAGACCUUGAAGGACUUCAACUAACUUAUUCAAAUGAAAAAAAAUGUUUCUUAUCUCGAACAUGAGAUGUCCAAACUUGAUUUUUCACACUAAAAUCACACUUAAACAACAAAAUCACUCAAAUCAUUAAAAAUACAAAAAUUUAGACUAUGGUCUCCUAGGUUACCAAAACUGGCUCCUGCAAUACAAUUUUCUGUACAAAUCCGAGAUUUUAUUCAUAUAAUCGUUUACCAAGGUCUUGUAAAUGAUUACAACUUUAUUUUUUGCUCCAGACCUUGCAAAACUUCAACUAACUUGUUCAAAUGAAAAAAAAUGGUUUCUUCUCUCAAACAUGGAGUGCCUAAACUUGAUUUCCCACACUAAAAUCACAGUUAAACAACAAAAUCACACAAAAACCAUUGUGUUUAUGCAAAAAAUACAAAAAUUUAGACUAUGGUCCCCUAGGUUACCAGAACUAGCUCCUACAACACAACUUUCUGUACAAAUCCAGGAUUUUGUUUGUGUAAUCGUGUACCAAGGUCUUGUAAACAAUUACAACUUUGUUUUUUACUCUAGACCUUGCAAAACUUAAACUAACUUGUUUAAAUGAAAAAACAAAAUGUUUCUUAUCUCGAACAUGGAGUGUUCAAACUCGAUUUCCCACACUAAAAUCACACAAAAACCAUUGCAUUUAUGCAAAAAAAUACAAAAAUUUAGACUAUGGUCUCCUAGAUUACUAGAACUAGCUCCUGCAGUACAACUUUCUGUACAAAUCCAGGAUUUUCUACGUGUAAUCGUUUACCAAGAUCUUGUAAACGAUUACAACUUUGAUCUGGAGCAAAAAAAAAUAUCAAAAAAUGUUUUAAAGGUUUAAGCAUGUGUUUGAUCGCUCGCAUCGUCCUUGUGCUAAAACCUUUUUUCUUUUAUAAAAAAAAAAUAUCAAAAAAUGUUUUAAAGGUUUAAGCACAUGUGUGAUCAUUCGCAUCGUCCUUGUGCUAAAAUUUUUUCUUCUUUUUUCUAAAAAAUAAUAAAUAAAAAUGUUUUAAAGGUUUAAGCACUUGUGUGAUCGUUCGCAUCGUCUUUGUGCUAAAACCUUUUAUUCUUUUUUCUAAAAAAUGAUAAAAUAAAAAUGUUUUAAAGGUUUAAGCACGUGUGUGAUCGCUCGUUUCGUCCUUGUGCUAAAAACUUUUUCUCUUUCUUUUAUAAAAAAUACCAAUAAUAUGUUUUAAAGGUUAAACACACGUGUAAUUGUUCGCAUCGUCCUUGUGCUAAAAACAUUUUCUCUUUCUUUUAUAAAAAUACCAAAAAUAUAAAAGUUAAUAAGCACAAGUGUUAUCGCUCGCAUCGUCCUUGUGUUAUAAACCUUUUCUCUUUCCUUUAAAAAUAAUUAAAAAUAUUCAAAUGUCUUUCUAAAGGUGUGAGUACUCGUGUGACCGUCUGCGUCAGCCUAGUAUUCAUUAUCUUCUUUUUUUUCAAAGAAAUAUAAAAAAUAUAAAAUCUUCAAAAGCUAAACAUUCACAAACAAACAACUUUUCUGCCAGAACUACGUGAUCCUUGAUUCUCCAUCCAAAUUGGAGAUACAUAGGAGUAAGGCCAAUCCUUGUUAGACUCGCUUCUCAAAAAUUCAAAUCUUUUCCAAAUAUAUUUUCUUACUAAUUUUGCAAAGAUAUUUCUUUAUAGUGUUUUUCGAGGAUAAUUAAACAUUUCUUAAAACCACAUUAAAUUCGCGUAUUUAAUUAAAGGUAUUGCUUUAGGACAGACGUCGUAGGGUGCUAACACCUUCCUUACACGUAACCGACUUUCGAAAUCAGAAUCUGGUUUUCACGGACCAUGCCUUAUCAUUUUAUGGUUUUUUUUUAUAGUUUUCCAGAAUAAACUAUGGUGACAACUCCAAAUUCUCUUUUCAAAAUCGUUUUCUUUUUGGAUCAUCGUCCCAUCGCGACACCGGUUGUGACAACUACCUCUCAGGUGGAGGCUACUGUUUCCAUGGCAUGAAAGUUGCUAUGCAUGUUCAACAACUUCGUGCAAUGGCACCGGCUCCAUCCAAUGCCUGUCUCUACUUCUCCUUUGCCCUCGCUCACGUCUUCCUGCAUUUGGAUCAUUCUCAUUAAUGUCGUUUAUUAUGUCAACUUCGUUUUCAUGGAUGGUCUAUGUUUGCUGAGCUUUUCUUAGUAUCAUUUGUUGUGCCUUAAAAAAAAUCUCGUAGCUUGAUGUCAAUAAACACAUUCCGUAACAACCUCGUAGCUUGAAAGGAUUUUAGGAAACAAGGAAACUCGGUUCAUUUGUAUAAAAGAGGUUUAUUGCAACAACAUCGAGAGCUUUAUAUAACAUACAUGCAAAGAUGGAGGUCCAACAUGAAAGGCAGAAGAAGAAGAAGAAGAAGAAGAGUUAUUGAGCGACAAAGCUUGCUUUGCCGAACACAAUGCCUGAAAAUUGAAGAAGAGAGUAAGUGAGAAGUAGAACUGUCAAAGCGGGUAACCCAUCUCAUUUAUUAGCGAGUCAGAAAAAUUCGAACCCGGUUCGACCAACCACAAGUUGGUGGGUAAACGGGUUGGCUCACUGACGCACUUAAUUACAAUUUUUUUAAAUGAUAAAAAAUUACAAACUUUCUAUAAUUCAAAUCUAAAAAUUUCAUUCCCAAAUCUCACUCCCAACAUUGAUGUUUAAUUAAUUUUGAAAAUAGGGAACUUAAAUAAUAUUUUAAAGCAAAAAAUAAUAAUAAAUAUUUUAAUUAUAAUAAUAAUAGGGAAAUUAAAAUUAAAUUUUAAUAAAAUAAAAUUAGGUAGGUGGGUUGGUACGCAUGAAUCGGGUUUAAAUAAGUCGGGUUGAAAUUGCACACGAGACAGUUACGACACAAACUGAAUGCAGAAGAUUUAGACAGGUCCAAUUCUCGCCUUUAUUAAAACUGAAUCAAUUUUACACCCAGAAAAAUAUUUUAAUGACACUUUUUCAAGUUGUAGGGUGUUUGUACAAAUUUGUCAUGAGUCUGAAUUUCUCUUAUAACAACGAAGAAAACUGUCAUGAGACUCUAGACGAUAUGAUAGCUUUCCGAUAAAGAAACCUAUUCAAGACGCUAUAAUCCUCAUGAAACAGGAAAGCCAUGAAAGAAAAUAAUCUGAAUUCUUAUUAUUCACCAAAGAAUAAUCUGUACAACAUAGAUUCAGAGGGCUUGACCCCUUUCCACAGGACUAUGCCUGUUGACCCCUUUCCAGACAAUCUCUUUUCAUUCCAAUCAUAAUAUCAUUUAAGAUUUCCAAUAUGGAAAAUUGUUCUAAUGACAUGAAAGGCAUAAUUAGGGGUGGGCAAAUCGAAUUGGACUGUACUAAACUGCUAAAAACUGAACUGAACUGUAAAACAGUUCAGACAAACUGAACUGAACUAUACUAAAUUGUACAAAAUUACAGUAUGAACUGAACUAUUAACUGAAUUGUAAAUUGCACUAACUGAACUAUUAACUAAAUUGUAAACUACACUAUUUUUAACUAAACUACAAUAUAAACUGAACCGAACUACUAACUAAACUAAUUUUAAACUGAAUUGUAUUAAUUUCUAAACUAAAUAGUAUAACAAUACAUAUUCUUUUUAACUUAAAUUUAUUUUGAUAUUUAUUUUAUUUUAUUCAUAAGUGUCUAAUUUUUAAUUAUUUAAUUUUAUUAUUUUAUAUUUUAUUUAUAUUUUUUUAUUAUUAAAAAUUAUUUAUAUUUUUUAUUAUUAAAAAUUAUUUUAUAUUUCUUUUAUUAUUAAAAAUUAUUUUAUAUUUUUUUUAUUAUUAAAAGUUAUUUUAUAUUUUAUUUAUAUUUCUUUUAUGUAUAUUUAUAUAUAUAUAUAUAUAUAUAUAUAUAUAUAUAUAUAUAUAUAUANNNNNNNNNNNNNNNNNNNNNNNNNNNNNNNNNNNNNNNNNNNNNNNNNNNNNNNNNNNNNNNNNNNNNNNNNNNNNNNNNNNNNNNNNNNNNNNNNNNNNNNNNNNNNNNNNNNNNNNNNNNNNNNNNNNNNNNNNNNNNNNNNNNNNNNNNNNNNNNNNNNNNNNNNNNNNNNNNNNNNNNNNNNNNNNNNNNNNNNNNNNNNNNNNNNNNNNNNNNNNNNNNNNNNNNNNNNNNNNNNNNNNNNNNNNNNNNNNNNNNNNNNNNNNNNNNNNNNNNNNNNNNNNNNNNNNNNNNNNNNNNNNNNNNNNNNNNNNNNNNNNNNNNNNNNNNNNNNNNNNNNNNNNNNNNNNNNNNNNNNNNNNNNNNNNNNNNNNNNNNNNNNNNNNNNNNNNNNNNNNNNNNNNNNNNNNNNNNNNNNNNNNNNNNNNNNNNNNNNNNNNNNNNNNNNNNNNNNNNNNNNNNNNNNNNNNNNNNNNNNNNNNNNNNNNNNNNNNNNNNNNNNNNNNNNNNNNNNNNNNNNNNNNNNNNNNNNNNNNNNNNNNNNNNNNNNNNNNNNNNNNNNNNNNNNNNNNNNNNNNNNNNNNNNNNNNNNNNNNNNNNNNNNNNNNNNNNNNNNNNNNNNNNNNNNNNNNNNNNNNNNNNNNNNNNNNNNNNNNNNNNNNNNNNNNNNNNNNNNNNNNNNNNNNNNNNNNNNNNNNNNNNNNNNNNNNNNNNNNNNNNNNNNNNNNNNNNNNNNNNNNNNNNNNNNNNNNNNNNNNNNNNNNNNNNNNNNNNNNNNNNNNNNNNNNNNNNNNNNNNNNNNNNNNNNNNNNNNNNNNNNNNNNNNNNNNNNUAUAUGUAUACAUACAUAUAUAUGUAUACGUAUAUGUAUAUAUAUAUAUAUAUAUAUAUAAUUUUUUAUUUUUAUUGAUAAAAAAUAUAAAUUGUGAUAAAAAAUUAUCUUAAAAAAUUAAUUAUUAUUUUUUUGUGUGAAUAAUUUUUUUACUAAUAUUUUACUAUUAUAUAAAGUUUUCUUGACAAGACCAAAUUAGAACUAGAGAAGAUGUAAGAGUAGAUACAAUUCUCACAGUUCACAUAACUGUAACCGUUAUAGAUUUAGUUUUUAAAAACUGAACCAUAAAACAAUAUACUGAAUUGUUAGUAAAAGUGGAUCAGUUACUUUUAGUAUAAUAUAGUACAGUUAACUACAUUACAAAUCAGUUAUUUUUGUCCAGUCCUAGACAUAAUACACCAAACAUUUUCUACAACAUUUACAUUUUAAAUUUAAGGGUGUAAUCUUUCACUACACCUAAGAAUCAUGAUCCAAUUUAUCCAACACAAUUCAUUGGUAACUCACAAAGUAUAAAAAUAUAUAUUAACCAUCCUUUUCAGGAUAUAGACUAAUAUCUGUAACACAAUGAUCUAACUUUCUAAUAUCUCAUAGCUUUAAUGGGCUGAAAUAAACCAAUUCGUUAAUCAAACCCAUCAAUUCAGGUAAAAACACUGGAAAAUCAAAUGUUCAAUUUUCCAACUAAUCUAUUCACUUCGGCAGAAGUUACUAUGGAAUUCUCGUCCUUGAGCUAAAGAAUAGACGAAAUUGGCCUACGCUUGCUCUGACAAUUAAGAAUUGUUAGAAAAGUUUAGUUUACAAGAUACAAAGAAACCUAGAUCCCUCAGAAACUAACCCUUCUCGGUAGUGGAGGAUGUGCAUCUUUUACAAUAGACGUUGCACUAACAAUCAAAUGAUAACAAAUUAGUUUUAAAUAAAAUAUAAAGUUUAUGAAGGACCAAUAACUAAACGAUUAAGAAACUAGUAAUUUCAUUAAUUAUUCAAAUUAAAAAGAAGAGAAUCAAUAACCGUAGGCCAACGUCUCCCCUACUAUUGUUAGUAGUGGUAGAGGAUGUCAAAUCCCAAAUACGGAAAGAUUUUCUACAGAACCAGAGACAACAGUUUGAAAAAAAAAAAUAUUAACCGCUAAUAAAUAUAUAUAUAUAAAAAAUAUCUGUAGUUCAAGCAUACGCAGGAAACAUUGCCUGGAUUGGUUGGAUGGCAUGAGAUAGAAGACACAUAAUCAGUGUGCCCGACGAACCCUUUAAGACAAAUUUAUUGUUCAACAUCCAUCACUUGUAUGUGUAAACAUACUAAAACUACAAAUUAAAUACUAUAUCCUUUUCACAAUGACAAAUUUAUUCAAUUCUAACUUCAUGUCAGGUGUCUUACUGUUUGAUCUCAGAAACCAAUGACAAUUUAUCUGUCAUCAUUGAUCCAACAAAUAUAAAAAACCUUUUCCUUAUCGAAACCAAUUCGCAUAUCUUCUUUUUUACUGAACUAAAACAGAAAAAAAUUUACAGGAUCACAAAACUCUGUCAGCUUCUUAUAUUUUUUUCAUCAUAUAAUUUAAACAAGAAAAAAUACUCGCAUUUUCUCCAGAGUUUGAGAUAUUAGGACGGUAAAUAUUGAACAAGCUAACAUGACCUUUUGUUUUAGACACAACAAGGAUAUAUGCAAAAUUUCUUCUGAGACAAAAUAGAUAAGGAGCUCAAUAUUGUAGAAAAUUGCAGACAAAUAUAGAGUGAAAAUGAAAGGUGAUAGUACCUGGACGAAGGAGAUAGAGCUAGGACCAGAUAAUGUGUUGUUGUUGUACACUAGUUUGACGCUUCCGGUUUCCUUAAAUUCAGAGACGAAUCCGUCUAUAUGCGGUGGUUUUCAAACUGCGGACAAAGAAAAAGAACGAGAAAAUGAUGCGAGAGUUCUGUAGUGAAAAUUGAGUUCGAGAGCGAACAACCUCAGAAGAGUUCUCUACAGGCGAUGUGAGUGUAAAAAGACUCAUAGCUUCGAGCGAGCACGAAUCGUUGGUAGACUUUGGUUGGCGCCAUAAAUGUGUAACAGAAUGACAGGGAACUACGAACUUCAAUUCAUUUUCGAAAAUUUAAAUGUUUGGUCGUUCCCUGUCAUUUGUUAUUUUAUUUAAAUUUUCAAAAAUGAAUUGAAAUUCCCUAUCAUUCGUUAUUUUAUUUAAAUUUAUUCCAACCAAAGUCUACCAACGAUUUGUGCUCGUUCGAAGCUCUGAGUCUUUCUACACUCACAUCGCCUACAGAGAACUCUUCAGAGAUUGUUCAAUCUUGAACUCAAUUUUUACUAAAAAACUCUUACGUCGUUUUUUCGCUCUCUUUCUCUGUCCACAGUUCGAAAACUAUCGCAUAUGGACGGAUUCGUCUCUGAAUUUAAGGAAACCGGAAGCGUCGAACUAGUGCACAACAACAUAUUAUCCGCUCCUAGCUCUAACUCCUGCGGCAAGGUACUCUCGCCAUCCACUUUCACUCUAUAUUUUUCUGUAAUUUUCUACAAUAUUAGCUCCUUAUUUAUUGUCUCGGAUGAAAUUUGCACACAUCCUUGCUGUGUCUAAAAUAAAAGGUCAUGUUAGCUUGUUCAAUACUUACCAUCCUAAUACCUCAAACUCUGGAAAAAAUACGAGUAUUUUUUCUUAUUUCCUUUUUAUUUGUUUUAAAUUAUAUGAUGAAAAAAUAUAGAAACUGACAGAAUUUUGUGGUCCUGUAAAAUUGUUUCUGUUUUAAUUCAUUAAAAGAGAAGAUAUGCGAAUGGAUUCUGCAUAAGAAAAAGAUUUUUUAUAUUUGUUGGAUCAAUGAUGACAGACAAAUUGUCACUAGUUCCUGGGAUCGAAUAGUAAGACACCUGGCAUGGAAUUAGAAUUGAAUAGAUUUUUGUCAUUGUGUAAAGGAUAUAAUAUUUAAUUUGUAAUUUUUGUAUGUUUACAGAUACAAGUAAUGGAUGUUGAACAACAAACCUGUCAUAAAGGGUUCGUCGGGCACACUGAUUAUGUGUCUUCUAUCUCUCCUCAUCCAACCAAUGCAGGAAAUGUUCACUGCGUAUGCUUGAACUACAAAUUCUUUUUUUUUAUAUAUUUGUUAGCUGUUAAUAUUUUUUUUUUCAAACUUUCAAACUGUUUUGUCUCUGAUUUUGUAGACGGAUCUUUCCGUAUUUGGGAUUUGACAUCCUCUACCACUACUAACAAUAGUAGGGAAGACGUUGGCCUCUACGGUAAGUGACUCUUUUCUUUUUAAUUUGAAAAACUAAUGAAAUUACUGGUUUCUUGAUCGUUUAGUUAUUGGUCCUUAAUGAACUUUAUAUUUUAUUUAAAACUACUUUGUUAUCAUUUGAUUGUUAGUGCAACGUCUAUUGUAAAAGAUGCACAUCCUCCACUACCGAGAAGGGUUAGUUUCUGAGGGAUCUAGGUUCCUUUGUAUCUUGCAAACUAAUCUUUUCUAACAAUUCUUAAUUGUUAGAGCAAGCGUAGGACAGUUUCGUCUAUUCUUUGGCUCAAGGACGAGAAUUCCAUAGUAACUGCUGCCAAAGUGAAUAGGUUAGUUGGAAAAUUGAAAAUUUGAUUUUCGAGUUUUUUACUUAAAUUGAUUGGUUUGACUAACAAAUUGAUUUAUUUCAACCCAUUAAAGCUAUGAGAUAUUAGAAAGUUAGAUCAUUGUGUUACAGAUAUUAGUCCAUAUCCUGAAAAGGUUUGCUAAUAUAUUUUUUUAUACUUUAUGAGUUAACGGUUAAUUAUGCUGGAUAAAUUUGAUCAUGAUUCUUAAGUGUAGUAAAAGAGUACAGCCUCAACUUAGAAUAAUCACCACAACACCCUUAAAGUUAAAAUGUAAAUGUUGUAGGAAAUGUUUGGUGUAUUAUGCCUUUCAUGUCAUUAGAACAAUUUUCUAUAUUUGAAAACUUAAAUGAUAUUGUGAUGGGAAUGAAAAGAGAUGAAAAGCUUACGAGAGAAGGAAGAGAGUUACUUAGCCAUAACAAACUAACUGUUUAUUACAGUUAGUAUAAGCAGGAAUGGGUGUAUAUAAAUAGGGGAGGUAGUUGGUUAGAGGGGGAUUUUGACAGUUGUUUUGGUCAACAGGCAUAGUCCUGUGGAAAAGGGUUAAGCCCUUUGAAUCUGUGUUAUACAGACUAUUCUUUGGUGAAUAAUACGAAUUCAGAUUCUUUUCUUUCAUUGCUUUCCUGUUUCGUGAGGAUUAGAGCGUUCUUGAUUAUGUUUCUUUAUCAGAAACCUAUCAAUUGGUCCGACCAGCCGAAUUCCAAUUGAAGAGAGGUGUUUGACGCACGUGAUGGAGGGAAGAGUGACAACAGUUGAAGGUUAGUUAAAGGCGGUUGAAAUCGCGGUGGCUUGGGGACAGAACUAUGAAGCCAUGCGACAAGAUGUCUAGGCGAUCUUGAAGAUGCUUGGGAUCGCAAACGCGACCCAAAUGGAAACCGCCAAGGUGGCAUUCAAUCGUCGGUGAAUGAUAACAACGACGGUGAACACGACAAAGAGGGAGAAAGAAAGGGCACGAGGAAUCAAGAAGGACUUGCGAAUUGGAGGAAACGGGUGGAAUUAUCGGCAUUCAAAGGAGGUGACCCAUUAAUCUGGAUUAGUCGAGCUGAGAAAUUCUUCGAGGUGCAAAAGGUGGAUGAGGAGGAGAAAUUGCAGUUGGCUUUCAUCAGUAUGGAAGGGUACACAACCUAUUGGUUUCGUUUCUGGAGGGAAAAAACCAAGAACAAUUCUUGGGAAGGACUAAAAAGGGUGUUGGUGAUCGGAUUCGAACAAUUUUAGUUGAACAAUCAAGAGGGUGCCUCUUCUCUUGCAUCCUCCUCCUUUUAUUUACCUUGCAAAUCCCUUCUAAGAACUAACUCCUCCAAGCAACUAUAAUAAUUUUCCUAACUACCUUCCCAAUCCUAGCAAACACAAUUUAUUUCACUGACAAGUGGACAAGGAGAAUCAAGUGAAUGAGAUGAAAAUUACAAGAGUUUGGUAGAACAAUAUCAUUUUUAUGGAAAAAAAAAAGCACUUAUAUUCAAUCUUUUCACUUUCUAAGUUAUUCCGAUAAUCAUGAGUCAUGUUCAAUAUUUGAUCAUCAUUGGUCCACAACUGACAUUCUCACAUUUCAAAACAUGAAAGCCUCGUUAUAAUCCUGAAACAGUUAUUAAUGAUAAGCAAUUAAAAAAAAAGAAGCUAGAAUAUAUCCACAAGUGUACUGAGCAAACCUGUAGCCAAUUCACGGGGAGAGAGUCUUCCAUGUGCACAAGCAGUAAGAGCAGCAUAAAGAACAAAUGGAGUUGCUUCAAGGAUGUCCCAUGCAGGCACUUUGAGUUUCAUCAGAGCAUCAUCCAGUGAAGAGCAAGAUGAAUUACUGCUUCCUGAAGUUGUAGGCGUCAAUGACUGAGCACUUCGAUUUAUUUUCUUGCAUAUCAUGCUUAGUAGCGCUUCAACAAUCUGAGAAACUGGCCCUCCAGGCGCAAGAGUAGAGCAGGUGGAUGCAAUACAUUCUCGAUGUUGCCGAUACCAAAUGUUUAAUUUUGGAAAGGAUUCCAUAAAUAAAGGUUCUAAAGAAAAAGUUAUCAUUUUUGAAAAUCUUCUACAACUUACUCGAUCUCUUGGUGAUUUCCCAAAGGAUGCUAACAUACAAUUUCGAACUAACAAAAGGUACUCAGGACCUAACUGUGAUCCUAAUGCUGGAGUUGUUGCACCACCCAUCACAUGCUCAACAGGUGGAUGAUUAAACCGCCAUAGUCUCAGCAGGAGAAUAAAUGCAUUAGAGAACACUGCAUGACAAGUGAGUUUUUCACCAGUAACAGCAGUCCAUGAGACAUUGGGAACAGAUGAUCCAAAAGCUUCGCAUAUUGGCAUCAACACAGCAGCAAGUAACGGAACCUGAAAGAAGAAAGUAAAAUGAAUGCAUAGAAUAGGACAACAAACUAAAAGCUUCAAUAGUUAUUAUUGUGAUUCCUCAUAGAUUAGGGAAGGGAUCAAUGUAGUUCCUAAGACUUUGACAAUCCUCGCCAUAUAAAUUGGUUUUAAGGAGCUUGAGUUAGGCCCCAAACUUUAUGGGAUUAAGUUAAACCCUAAGCAGUCUUCCUAAUGCUUGUGUAAUCUUUUUCUUACAAGCUAGCUUUGUGGAACUGAGUUAAACCCUAAGCCCAAAUUUUAGAAGUUAUUAACAAAUCCUUUCUUGGGAAAAAAUAAAACUGUUUUUGAUUGAUAGUACAAAAAAAAUUAAUAAGACAAAUUUUCUUUGUCUGUAUGCAUAUGGGAGGGUUGUUCUAAAAAUGUCAUUCAUAUUAAUUUUCCUUUUUUCUUGAGUGAAACAAGAAUGUACACCACUUGCUAUAUUAAAUCAGAACGUACCACACCGUGUAGGGAGAAUAUCUGAACACUGUCUACGGAUGAAAUUCCAAUCAGAAGGACGUUCAACAAAGGAGCAUGGUUGAUCAAAUAGCUUUCAGUCCCAGAAUAUUUAGGAGGAACNGGAGGUGAAAGCAUCUUUACUAUGAAAAAAACAAUAUGUUCCUACAUCCAAAGAUAAUCAUUACAAUCAUGAGUGAAAAAUCAAAAACUGAAAAGGAAGGAAAGCAAACAAAAUUGAAUUACCAAGAAUAAAGCAAAAAAUAAAAUAAAAUGAAAAUGGUGUUGGGAUCACCUGAACGUUCCAACCACGUACUAAAGAUGCCCCACAAAGAAUGGUAGCAGCAGAUAUCUUUUCUUCAUCCGAGCCAUUGAUUGCAAAUUCAAAUAUUUUCUCAAUCUCUGCUAAGCUUCCAUUACAUCCACGAGCUUAAAUUCAGUUGUUUUACCACUAGUAAAUAUACAGAAUAGAGCAUACGAUACCCUGAACUUCAGGAAACAGAAAAGUGUAACUGAAGCCCAGGUAUUAAGCAUACUACAGGCAAUUGGACAGCUACUACUUUCAAAAACAUAUUUAUGCACACUUUGAAUGCGUAUCUCUAUUAAAUAUCUAUGUAUGCAUUAUCUCUAUUAAAUAUCUAUGUAUGCAUUAUCUCUAUUAAAUAUCUAUAUAUGCAUUUCUACUUUGCCUCUGAUACAAGUAAUUUUCUAUUUUGUUCACCAGAUGAAAUAAGGUCCUUUGUCCAAGAUACAUUGGAUGGGAGUAAUAAACCAAUAGACUUAUUACUACCCUGCCCAAGUUGAAUUAAGAAAAGGUACUCCUUAAGAACUCUUUAAAUAAUAUAUGCAGUGCAUCUAUGGUAUUUCAAUAUUAACUCUAUGCUACUACGUUUUUGCAAACCAUAUUAAAGAUAACUAUAAAUUAACAAUUUAACAGAAGAAUGGAAGCAUUGUUAUGACAUUUAGAAAUAAUUCUCUCUUGAAAGUUAGGCUAGAGAAUCCAAAAGACCUCCUCUAGCCACCUUCCAACACACUACCUCAUUCUUCCAUUUUCCAUCUCACCAUUGUGCUCUCUUUCUCAUCCACGACCUCACCCCUCCACGCUGCACCAUUCAUCAGAUGUCAUAUCUCCUGCUUCUUGCGUCAGCGUCUAGAGUUACGUCACCACAUCUUCAUUUGGCCUUCCUUCGCGCAGAGUCACAUUUCAUGUCGAUUAAUCGGUCCAUUGAGUGAUUCUUCUUUGAUCUAGGGUUUUCCAUCGUUUAAAACUUAAGUCUAGGAUUUUUCUUGUGUUCGUCUUUGAAUAACUCGUGAUUAGAGCUUCUUCAACAAUAUCCGCUGCAUCUUCUCAUUGAAGAGAGAACUUUAACAAUCAUUGAUGCAGUUCUAGGCACAACAAAAGCACGAAAGAGAGAAAGAGUUCGAAGACUCUCUAGAAGCUAGAGAGAGAAGCAGAGCAGCUUUCUGCACAGCGACGCUGCCAUGGUCGUGUUUGGAGGAAAAGAGAGAGGAUCGAGCGAGGGCUUCGUCGGAGGUAUGAAAAAUGCGUGCUUUAUUAACUUUUGUAAAAUGCUUGUAUAUUCGUCUGUAUACAUCUUACAAAUGAAAGGGGGUGAGCAUCUAUUUAUAGAGUUCUUAGGAAAACAGGAAAAACAAAGGAACAGCAAAAAAAAAACCUAACUUAACAUAAACCCGAUUACUGUCUAACCCAACAGAAUAAUAAAACUCAAUAGCCCUAAUUUCAUGUAGUAAGGUGUUCCUACCCACGACAGGUAAGAAACUGAGCCACGUCAAACACAUAUUAACGCCAUUGGAUUCCAUUGAACGAAAAGGAUCCAAUUGUCCCAAUUUUCAGAAAAUUGAGACUCAAUUGAGAAAUCCAAAAAGAAUGGGACGAAAUUGAAAUUCCACACGAAAUUAGGGACUUCAUAAAUGAUUAAACCGAAUCCUGCCUGAUGUAGUUCUUUUUUUCAUAUUUAUUUACAUUUUAUUGUACGUGUAGCUUAGUUUGUAAGGAGCAUGGGUUACUAUAAAUACCCAACUCCUCUCUUGUAUUUCCUACUUUUGAAAUUAUUGAGAAUUUGAUUUUCUGACAUUCAGAAAUAAUUCUCUCUUGAAAGUUAGGUUAGAGAGUCCAAGAGACCUCCUCUAGCCACCUUCCAACACACUACCUCAUUCUUCCAUUUUCCAUCUCACCAUUGUGCUCUCUUUCUCAUCCACGACCUCACUCCUCCACGCUGCACCAUUCAUCAGAUGCCAUAUCUCCUGCUUCUUGCGNCAGCGUCUAGAGUUACGUCACCACAUCUUCAUUUGGCCUUCCUUCGCNNAGAGCCACAUUUCAUGUCGAUUAAUCGGUCCAUUGAGUGAUUCUUCUCUGAUUUAGGGUUUUCCACCGUUUAAAACUUAGGUCUAGGAUUUUUCUUGUGUUCGUCUUUGAAUAACUCGUGAUUAGAGCUUCUUCAACAAUUUCCGCUGCAUCUUCUCAUUCAAAGGAAGCUUCGAGGAGCUCGCUUCGCUCGUACGAUCUUCUUCUAGGAGCAAUCUUCCACCAUCAAUGCAUGCCAUAUUUCUCUCGUAUUUAUUUUAAAACUAAUUUUGGAAAAGAAAGGUUGCAUAAUUCAUUUAUUGCAGUUCAACUACCUUUUUUCCUGGUACUCCUAAAUAUCCUACCAAAGUAGGUUGUCUUGAUGAGUAACUGUUUUAUUCUAUAUGUGAACCUGAAAUGGCAUAUUGAGAGAAAUUGGAAUGCUGAAAAAAACAAUGAGACCUUUUUAAACAAAUAAAUGGAUUAAAGUCAAAUAAAUUUCAAGUUAAAUUAAUAAGAAAACAGUUAGAUUCACUUACUGAUGAAUUACCACAAGUUGCAUAAGUAGUGUUAAAAACUAAUCUUAAAAACUAAGUAGUGUUAAAAACUAAUCUUAAAAAAGAGAACUAGAACAAUAUCAGGUUUCCAAAUUACGAGUUAACUGCUGUAACACCAUGCGAGUCCCAUCCUAACUUAGUAGGAUUGUCAACCUGAAUUUUGAAAGUUCAGGGGAAAUAACAUAGACAUCAAAAUUUAAUAUCUCUUUAUAAUUUAUUAGUAAGAACAAAACUUUCCUAACUUAGGUAUAUCCAUCCCCAGAACCACUAACAAUGUUUGACGCAUCUGGAAUAAUUGCGGCCUGAAAUUGCACACAUGGGACAGUUAAGAGUUAGGACAAAAAUUACAUCAGACAGUUAGGAGUUAGGACACAAACUAAAUGCAAAAGAUUUGGACAGAUCUAAUUCUCACAUUUAUUAAAACUGAAUCAAUUUUACACCCAGAAAAAUAUUUUAAUGACCCUUUUUCAAGUUGUAGGGUGUUGUGCAGAUAAAUACUGCAAAAAAAAAUGGUAGAUUUUAUAUUUUGACAUAUAUUCUUAAGGAAAGAAACAUACACACUAUCAAAGCAAAGGAUGAUACCGGUUAUACUGGAGGAGGUGGAAAGAAAAGAUAUGCUCUCAUCUUGAGACAAACUAGUUAUUGGGUCCAACUUUCUCAAGUUCAAAUUUCUCUGAUCACAACGAAGAAAAUUGCCAUGAGACUCUGGACAAUAUGAUAGAUUUCUGAUAAAGAAACCUAAUCAAGAACGCUCCAAUCCUCACGAAACAGGAAAGCAAUGAAAGAAAAGGAUCUGAAUUCGUAUUAUUCACCAAAGAAUAGUCUGUAUAACACAUAUUGAAAGGCCUUAACCCCUUUCCACAUGACUAUGCCUGUUGACCAAAACAACUAUCAAAAUCCCCCCUCUAACAAACUACCUCCCCUAUUUAUACAUACCCAUUCCUGCCUAUACUAAACUGUAAUAGACAAUUAGUCUGUUAUGGCUAAGUAACUAUCUUCCUUCUCUCGUAAACUUUCCAUAUCUUUUCAUUUCCAUCACAAUAUCAUUUAAGUUUUCCAAUAUAGAUAUUGUUCUAAUGAUAUGAAAGGCAUAAUACACCAAACAUAUUCUACCACAUUUACAUUUUAACUUUAAGGGUGUUAUGGUGAUUAUUCUAAGUUUAGGCUAUAAUCUUUUACUACAUCCCAAAUACGAAAAGAAUCAUCUACAGAACCAGAGACAAAACGGUUUGAAAGAAAAUAAUAUUAACAGCUAACAAAUAUAUAUAUGCUUGGAUGGGGAGAGAUAGAAGACACACAAUCAGUGUGCCCGACGAACCCUUUAAAACAGAUUUGUUGUUCAACAUUCAUUACUUGUAUGUGUAAACGUACAAAAAACUACAAAUUAAAUAUUAUAUCCUUUACACAAUGACAAAAAUUUAUUCAAUUCUAACUCCAUGUCAAGUGUCUUACUAUUCGAUCCCAAGAACCAGUGACAAUUUGUCUAUCAUCAUUGAUCCAACAAAUAUAAAAAAUAUUUUCCUUAUGCGGAACCAAUUCGCAUAUCUUCUCUUUUACUAAACUAAAAGAGAAAAAAUUUUACCGGACUACAAAACUCUGUCAGCUUCUAUAUUUUUUCAUCAUAUAAUUUAAAUCAAAUAAAGAAGAAAUAAGAAAAAAUACUCUUAUUUUCUCCAGAGUUUGAGGUAUUAGGACAAUAAAUAUUGAACAAAGCUAACAUGACCUUUUAUUUUAGACACAGCAAGGAUGUGUGCAAUUUUCGUCUGAGACAAAAUAAAUAAGGAGCUCAAUAUUGCAGACAAAUAUAAAGUGAAAGUGGAAGGCGAGAGUACCUUGUCAAAGGAGAUAAAGCUAGGACCGAAUAAUGUGUUGUUGUGCACUAGUUCGACGCUUUCCUUAAAUUAGAGAUGAAUCCGUCCAUACACGGUGGUUUUCGAAAUGCGGAUAGAGAAAGAGAGCGAAAAAAUGAUGUGAGAGUUUUUCAGUGAAAAUUGAGUUCGAGAGCGAACAACUUCAGAAGAGUUCUCUGCAGGCGAUGUAAGUGUAGAAAGACUCAAAGCUUCGAGCGAGCACGAAUCGUUGAUAAAGUUGGGUUGACGCCAUGAAUGUGUAACAGAAUGACAGGGAACAUCGAACUUCAAUUCAUUUUCGAAAAUUUAAAUAAAAUAACGAAUGAUAGGGAACAACCCAACAUUUAAAUUUCCGAAAACGAAUUGAAGUUCGUUGUUCCCUAUCAUUCUGUUACACAUUCAUGGCGCCAACCAAAGUCUACCAAGGAUUCGGCUAGCUCGAAGCCGAGUCUUUCUACACUCACAUCGCCUGCAGAGAACUCUUCCGAGGUUGUUCACUCUCGAACUCAAUUUUCAUUGAAAACUCUCACGUCGUUUUUUCGCUCUCUUUCUCUGUCAGCAUUUCGAAAACCACCGUGUACGGACGAAUUCGUCUACGAAUUUAAGGAAAUCAGAAGCGUCGAACUAGUGCACAACAACAAUACAUUAUCCACUCCUAGCUCUAUCUCCUUCGGCAAGGUAUUCUCGCCUUCCACUCUCACUCUAUAUUUGUCUUUAAUUUUCUACAAUAUUGACUCUUUAUUUAUUGUCUCAAAUGAAAUUUGCACACAUCCUUAUUGUGUCUAAAAUAGAAGGUCAUGUUAGCUUGUUCAAUACUUACCGUCCUAAUACCUCAAACUCUAGAGAAAAUACGAGUAUUUUUUUUUCUUUAUUUGUUUUAAAUUAUAUGAUGAAAAAAAUAUAGAAGCUGACAAAGUUUUGUGGUCUUGUAAAAUAUAGAAGCUGACAGAGUUUUAAUUCAGUGAAAGAGAAGAUAUGCGAAUUAGUUCCGCAUAAGUAAAAGAUUUUUUAUAUUUGUUGGAUCAAUGAUGAUAGACAAAUUGUCACUGGUUACUGGAAUCGAAUAGUAAGACAUCUGGCAUGAAGUUAGAAUUGAAUAAAUUUGUCAUUGUGUAAAGGAUAUAAUAUUUAAUUUGUAGUUUUUGUAUGUUUACAGAUACAAGUAAUGGAUGUUGAACAACAAACCUGUCUUAAGAGUUCGUCGGGCAUACUGAUUAUAUGUCUUCUAUCUCUCUCCAUCCAGGCAAUGUUCACUGCGUAUGCUUGAACUACGGAUUUUUUUUAUAUAUUUGUUAGCUGUUAAAUAUUAUUUUCUUUUUAAACUUUCAAACUGUUUUGUCUAUGGUUCUAUAGACGGAUCUUUCCGUAUUUGGGAUUUGACAUCCUCUACCACUAUUAACAAUAGUAGGGGAGACGUUGGCUUAAAGUAAGUGACUCUUUUCUUUUUAAUUUGAAAAACUAAUGAAAUUAUUGGUUUCUUGAUCGUUUAGUUAUUAGUCCUUAAUGAACUUUAUAUUUUAUUUAAAAUUAAUUUGUUAUCAUUUUAUUGUUAGUGCAACGUCUAUUGUAAAAGAUGCACAUCUUCCACUACCGAGAAGGGUUAGUUUAUGAGGGAUCUAAGUUCCUUUGUUAGAACAAGCGGAGGCCAGUUUCGUGUAUUAUUUGGCUCAAGGACGAGAAUUCCAUAGUAACUUUUGCCAAAGUGAAUAGGUUAGUUGGGAAAUUGAACAUUUGAUUUUCCAGUGUUUUUACCUGAAUUGAAUCAUUUGACUAACAAAUUGGUUUAUUUCAGCCCAUUAAAACUAUGGGAUAUUAGAAAGUUGGAUCAUUGUGUUAUAGAUAUUAGUCCAUAUCCUGAAAAGGUUGGUUAAUAUAUAUUUUUAUACUUUGUGAGUUACCAAUUAAUUAUGUUGGAUAAAUUUGAUCAUGAUUCUGAAGUGUAGUAAAAGAUUACAUCCUUAACUUAAAAUAAUCACAACACCCUUAAAGUUAAAAUGUAAAUGUGAUAGGAAAUGUUUGGUGUAUUAUACCUUUCAUGUCAUUAGAACAAUUUUCUAUAUUGGAAAACUUAAAUGAUAUUGUGAUGGAAAUGAAAAGAGAUGGAAAGUUUACGAGAGAAGAAAGUGAGUUACUUAGUCAUAACAAACUAACUGUUAUAACAAUUAUUUAGUGAGGAUUAGAGCAUUCUUGAUUAGGUUUCUUUAUCAGAAAUCUAUCAUAUUGUCCAGAGUCUCAUGACAGUUUUCUUUGUUGUGAUCAGAGAAAUUUGAACUCGAGAAAGUUGGACCCAAUAACUAGUUUGUCUCAAGAUGAGAGCAUACUUUUUCUUUCCACCAGCUCUGGUAUAACCAAUAUCAUCUUUUGCUUUAAGAGUGUGUAUGUUUCUUUCCUUAAGAAUAUAUGUCAAAAUAUAAAAUCUACCAUUUUUUUUGUGCAGAAUUUAUCUGUACAACACCCUACAACUUGAAAAAGGGUCAUUAAAAUAUUUUUCUGGGUGUAAAAUUGAUUCAGUUUUAAUAAAUGUGAGAAUUAGACCUGUCCAAAUCUUUUGCAUUCAGUUUGUGUCCUAACUCCUAACUGUCUGAUGCAAUUUUUGUCCUAACUCUUAACUGUUUCAUGUGUGCAAUUUCAGGCCGUAAUUAGUCCUGAUGCGUCAAACAUUGUUAGUGGUUCUGGGGAUGGAUAUACCUAGGUUAGGAAGGUUUCGUUCUUACUUAUAAAUUAUAAAGAGAUAUUAAAUUUUGAUGACUAUGUUAAUCCACUGAACUUUCAAAAUUCAUGUUGACAAUCCUACUAGGUUGGGAUGGGACUCGCAUGGUGUUACAGCAGUUAACUGGUAAUUUGGAAACCUGGUGUUGUUCUAGUUCUCUUUUUUAAGAUUAGUUUUUAAAGUAAGUGAAUCCAACUGUUUUCUUACUAAUUUAACUUGAAAUUUAUUUGACUUUAAUCCAUUUAUUUGUUUAAAAAGGUCUCAAAUUGUUUUUUUCAGCAUUCCAAUUUCCCUCGAUAUGCCAUUUCAGGUUCACAUAUAGAAUAAAACAAUUACUCACAAUAGAUGAGAUGACACCAUACAAAAAUAUCAAGACAACCUACUUUGGUAGGAUAUUUAGGAGUACUAGGAAAAAGGUAGUUUAACUGUAAUAAAUGAAUUCUGCAACCUUUCUUCUCCAAAAUUAGUUUUAAAAUAAAUACGAGAGAAAUAUGGCAUGCAUUGAUGGUGGAACAUUGCUCCUAAAAGAAAACCGUACGAGCGAAGCGAGCUCCUCGAAGCUUCCUCUGAAUGAGAAGAUGCAGCGGAAAUUGUUGAAGAAGCUCUAAUCACGAGUUAUUCAAAGACGAACACAAGAAAAAUCCUAGACCUAAGUUUUAAACGGUGGAAAACCCUAAAUCAGAGAAGAAUCACUCAAUGGACCGAUUAAUCGACAUGAAAUGUGGCUCUAUGCGAAGGAAGGCCAAAUGAAGAUGUGGUGACGUAACUCUAGACGCUGACGCAAGAAGCAGGAGAUAUGGCAUCUGAUGAAUGGUGCAGCGUGGAGGAGUGAGGUCGUGGAUGAGAAAGAGAGCACAAUGGUGAGAUGGAAAAUGGAAGAAUGAGGUAGUGUGUUGGAAGGUGGCUAGAAGAAAAUCAAAUUCUCAUUAAUUUCAAAAGUAGGAAAUACAAGAGAGGAGUUGGGUAUUUAUAGUAACCCAUGCUCCUUACAAACUAAGCUACACGUACAAUAAAAUGUAAAAAAAUAUGAAAAAAAGAACUACAUUAGGCAGGAUUCGGUUUAAUCAUUUAUGAAGUCCCUAAUUUCGUGUGGAAUUUCAAUUUCGUCCCAUUCUUUUUGGAUUUCUCAAUUUUCUGAAAAUUGGGACAAUUGGAUCCUUUUCGUUCAAUGGAAUCCAAUGGCGUUAAUAUGUGUUUGACGUGGCUCAGUUUCUUACCUGUCGUGGGUAGGAACACCUUACUACAUGGAAUUAGGGCUAUUGAGUUUUAUUAUUCUGUUGGGUUAGACAGUAAUCGGGUUUAUGUUAAGUUAGGUUUUUUUUUGCUCUUCCUUUGUUUUUCCCGUUUUCCUAAGAACUCUAUAAAUAGAUGCUCACCCCCUUUCAUUUGUAAGAUGUAUACAGACGAAUAUACAAGCAUUUUACAAAAGUUAAUAAAGCACGCAUUUUUCAUACCUCCGACGAAGCCCUCACUCGAUCCUCUCUCUUUUCCUCCAAACACGACCAUGGCAGCGUCGCUAUGCAGAAAGCUGCUCUGCUUCUCUCUCUAGCUUCUGGAGAGUCUUCGAACUCUUUCUCUCUUUCGUGCUUUGUUGUGCCUAGAACUGCAUCAAUGAUUGUUAAAGUUCUCUCUUCAAAUAAUGCUUAAACUAAUAUUUCUAGGAGUGGGCAAAGUGUACUAAACUGAAAUAUAAACAAUUAUAGUUAACUAUAAAACAAUUCAACUAUACUAAACUGAACUAAAAAAUAGUUCAAAAAAACUAAACUAAACUAUUUUUUAGUUCAGUUACAUUGCAAUAGUUCAGUUAACUAUUUAAAAUAGUUUCAGCAGAACAAAAUAUAAUAAUGUUUGAACAACUAAAACCAGUGUAUCUAAUUACUUUUAUUACCCACUAUAAAACAGUUUUAUCCUAAUGUGACUAUCCCAUUAAAUCAUAAACAGAUUUGGAUUAAAUCCACUCCUUGAAACUAGAUUUGAUAAGUCAGGAAUGGAGCAGUUUCUUCACCUGUUUUCAUAAACCCUGAAAAGGAUCAGGCCUUGUGAAGUCAGGGCAAACAUCUAACAGGACAAAGGCUAAAUUGCUAAAUAAAAGUACUAUUAAGAAGACUACCUCUAAUUUUUCUACUUUUGCAACAUUCUCAGGGGACACAAAUUCCAAUUCCACACAAACACAACACUACAGAUCAAUAAUAACAAACUUGUCAUACACUAAAAAACACAAGAUAAAAAGUGAAACAAAAGUCAAUGCCUAGAUAAUGAUAUCCUCAAUCAGAUGGAUAGUAGUAAGAUCAACACGUCAAGGGAUAAAUUGAAACUAAUUAUUGUGUAGAGACUUACUAUUCCAUGAAUAAAUUAAAUGUUAUGUAUAUAUAAUAUGGAAUAUACAUGAAUUGAUAUAAUUAGAACUAUAUACAUAAAUACCAUUUCCUCUCCCAUCAUCUAAAUUCUAAAUUAUCUAUCACCUUUCAACUAACUUAAUAUUAAUUGUCACUAAUUUUAAACAACCUCGUCUAUUUUAGAACGUAAGUUACCUUCUUUUAGAGCAAGAUAAGCGUUUAUCUUUGAAUUACUACAUCUUCUUAAUCAUUAUACUUAGGUUUUCACACUUAAAAAUAAAAGUCAUCUCACUUAAAAAAAAAAAAAAAAGUGACAAUAGCACUAUCUUCUAGAUAGUAUUUAUCAUAUCCCAAAAUUUAUUGUCCUCAAGAUCCUGGCUAUACAAUGUUUUACUUUCUUAGUCAUUCUAAGACCAAUUAUAUAUCAGCUCUUGUAACUUAUACGUGGUAUAAUAAUUUUGCACAUGUCCUAGAUUCAACUCAUGUCAUGUCAUCAUAUAAUAUGUAAACAAUAAGGAAUAAACAGUGAAAUGUAUAUAUACAAAUCUAACUUACGUCAAGGAUUUUCCUUUGAAAACUAUGGAAGGAGCAAGUGCAGCUAAGGUACAAAAUCUUAGGUAAAGAUGCAUGCAGAAAGGGAAAUGAUAAUAAGUGAAUUAUGUUGGAAAUGUGAACCAAAGCUUAAGUGCAUAGCAGCAAAACAGUCAAUUUACCAGGUAAAACAAGAAAAACCAUCCAAAGUUCAAAGCACUAUCGGUCCUGCAAAAAUAAAAAUAGAACAAAUUUCAAAUCAAGAGUGUAACCAAAUUAGAACGAUCAAAAUACCCAUUCAUAUUUUGUUCAAAUUAGAACGAUCAAAAAAUGCAGUUUCUCAAAAAAGCCAAAUGCAUCAUUCAUACUGAAAAGCAAGCAAUCAUACUUGAAUCCGGCAAUCCCGCAAGCAGCAUCCAUCUCAAACAAAUUCUAAUCUGCAUCAACAUGCAAUAAAUUUGUUAAUUUCAAUGUUCACAAAAACCCUGCUCAAUAAACCAUUGCCUCUUUUGAGCCAGAAUAAACAAGAUUUUUAACAUAUCCCUUGUUGUUUGAUAAACCACCCUCAUAAUUUCUUCAGCUUCUGCCCACGCAGUCCAUUCCAGAAAGCAGCUGCAUUUACUGUCUUUUUUCCAGGAAGCUGAACUUCCAAUACCUGAGAGAGUUACAGUGUCACCGAUUCAGAAAGGCAUAUUUGACAUGCAAGAAUUUUGGGCUUCUAUACCUUACUGAAGAGCAAGUAUUUUCCUUAAUGCUUGCUCCUCGUGAUAUAAAAGAAAAACACUGGUAAACUGUAUCUCAGAAAGCAAGUAAUUACAAACUCGAAGAUUUUGUAUUUUUCAAGUACGAAUGCUCUUUCAAUAAAGUGAGGAUAUACAAUUCGCAUUCCCAAGGACACUGCUCUUUCAUCUGAUAUUAUUUGUCUCAAUUCCUUUUUUUGAAAAGGUAAGUAAGAUUUAUAUUAAAAACUGUUGAAAAACACAACUGCCAUUAAUUACAAUCAUAGAAUCCAAUCCCUAUUGGAUAAGACAAACAUGUAAUCAUAGAAAGUACAAGAGCCUCUUGAAUGGGUUACAGGAGUUUCCAUUUUUAUAGUUGACAUUAAUUUCAUAGAUAAAUACAUUUCAUGUUGAUUCCAAGAUGCAAGAAAGACAUUCAGAAUUUCAAAGAGUACUUGGGCAAAAUGAGAACGAGAGGGCUGGAAUUUCCCAUUUUUUAUGGAAACUCGUGCAUGAAAUAUAUUAAAUAGCGAUUUUCAGAAAAAGAUAAUUAUUAAGCAGCAGCUUCAGCAUAAGGGAAUAUAUACAAUAACAAAUUUCAAAAGGUAACUGGUUUCCACCCAUCAUCACCUACCUAGGUGGUGCAAACAUGAUACAAAAACGUACCUCAAUUGUGGUACCCCUUCCACAUGGAAAUAACAACGCACCGUCAACAAAUGCAACAUCAUCUGCUUCAUUGAACUGCACACUUUCAUGACUGCUAAGUCGUGUGGUUAUAAUUUUAAUAUCCAAAGUUUUCUGCUCACCAUUUUUCUCAACCACUAACACUCUUGCUCGAGUUCCUGGCCACCCUGAAAAGGCACGAACCUAAAAUUGUUUUAUGUCACAANAUUUCAUAGAUAAAUACAUUUCAUGUUGAUUCCAAGAUGCAAGAAAGACAUUCAGAAUUUCAAAGAGUACUUGGGCAAAAUGAGAACGAGAGGGCUGGAAUUUCCCAUUUUUUAUGGAAACUCGUGCAUGAAAUAUAUUAAAUAGCGAUUUUCAGAAAAAGAUAAUUAUUAAGCAGCAGCUUCAGCAUAAGGGAAUAUAUACAAUAACAAAUUUCAAAAGGUAACUGGUUUCCACCCAUCAUCACCUACCUAGGUGGUGCAAACAUGAUACAAAAACGUACCUCAAUUGUGGUACCCCUUCCNCAUGGAAAUAACAACGCACCGUCAACAAAUGCAACAUCAUCUGCUUCAUUGAACUGCACACUUUCAUGACUGCUAAGUCGUGUGGUUAUAAUUUUAAUAUCCAAUGUUUUCUGCUCACCAUUUUUCUCAACCACUAACACUCUUGCUCGAGUUCCUGGCCACCCUGAAAAGGCACGAACCUAAAAUUCUUUUAUGUCACAACUGUGCCCUUCAGAUAAGAUCAUGAAGUUUACCUUAUUGUGUAGAACAUAUGCUUCUUCAUCAAAGGAUAGCCAUGAUUCAUCUGAGUUUAUCUGCAUAGUGUAGAAAAUAAAAAUGAGCAACUCCUCAUAAGAAAGAUAUUUUACCAACUGUAUAUACUCGAGUAUUUUCUUUUCCUUAAGAAUAACGGGAUGUUUACUGCACUGAACAGAAAGACACGUAAUACAAACCAUCACCAAUUCAAUAUUCACAGGUUUUCUAAAUGAACUACAGCUCACUGCUAAAUGAAAUCAUGUGAUCAUAAAUAGCAUGAAACCCUGUUUCUGAACAACAGGACCUCUGGAAGUAUUGAAAAAUCAGAGACAGGAGAAAAAGAAAAAACAUUAAAAUUUGUAAUAGUGCAACACCCAGGAAGACUAUUUCUCAGGGAUAUGCUUCUUAUAGACUACUAGCUUCUUGGGUUAAGUGAAGGUUCACAUAUUGCAUUUUGUAAGGAAAGUGAGGAUAACUUAGCUCCUUACACCUUUGUUGUCUAUAGUUGAAGCAUAAUUUAGCCACAAAAAAAUUUAUACUCUCUUCCCACAAACUAAGUGAUACAAAAAUAAGUUCAUGACUGAUUCUGCUCAUCUCUCCUUCCAACAAGUUGUAAUUUGGUGUCCUGUAUUUUUCUGAUUUGUCUUGUGUUUUGUUUUAAAUCUCAAACAAUUCAUUUUUUUAAUCAUGAAAGCACUCCAAAACAACCUGUAAGGCAAAGUCUUUAAUUUGGAAAGAUGUAUACACUGCACGUUAGAAUCUAUACAAGUGGAAAUUUGCAGAUGUAGACCUCUUGAGUGACAGCUCUUUUACCCAACAUGUGUUAUGAACUAAUGAACCCAGAAACGGUAAGCCGCUUAUUUUUUGCAUUGUGAAACUUUUCUUUACUAUUUGCAACAUCAGAAUGAGUCCCCGCAUCUUAGCAUGAAUUCACUUACAAAUUGUUCCUUUGGAUUCACUAAAUGAGUCUUUCCACCUUUGAGAAUUAUCACGUAUGGGUUUUGUUAGGAAUAUAUGGGGGACUAAAAUGAAGGCAACAUGUAUUGUAUGGUGUAAAGAGGAAUAUACAAUGUCCAUAUCUUCAAAUGUCUUCUUUCUACCCGUUGAAUUUAUUGUCGAUAAUGUUGUGCUUGUGGCCUCUCAUUCCCACUCUUUUGAUUAUUUUUUAAAGGGAAUUCAUGUUACUGACUUCCAAAGAGAAUCAACAACCUUGUUGCAUUUUUGAACCAUUAAUUUGUUCCCAGAAAUGCAAUAGAUUUUUAAGAGUAUAUGCAAUAUCAACUUUCAACAGUCUAGAUAGUAUUUUGGACCCAAAAUUUGGAGGACCUGAUAUAUACCGAACAAAUAUUACUAGGAAUUGUUAUUUUCUAUUUCAGCUUCCUGGUAACAUAAUCAAGGCUCACAUACCUUAGGAGCCAAUGUAGCCUUAGAAUCAUCCUGAGGUUGGGCCUUUAAUCUUGCUGAUCCAUCAAGUAUAGAUGGAAGUUCCCUAAUCAAAAGUUCAGAUCCUGUUUUGUCAAAUAAAGGUAGGAACUCAGUCAGUGUAGAACACUAUCAAAAUGCCCAAAUAAGAAUAUCUUAGUACAGAGAUCACCAAGAGAAAGAGGUACACAGAACGACAAAAAUGGAAGAAUCAUACCUUUAUGAAAGAGGAGCUCAAGCAAAUCAGGUGCCUACACAGAAAUCUAAAGUUUUGUCAGAAGCAGGGAGAAAAAGUAUACCAGCCUUGUAAGUUUUACCAAACAAGUUGACAGCUAUGGUUACAGGCAAUCCAUAAUGCUAAAGACAUAAAAAAUAGAAAAUAAAAAAUCCAGGAAAUUAACGUAUAUUUUAAUCACGAACCUGAUAUACUAUUAAUACAAUUAAGGGAGAUUGUAACCCUUGAUAUAAUAUGCACCAAUUUUACAUAUCCAAACCAGAAGUAGAAACAUUUCAAAUUAGGUUACAAAUGAAGGAUAAAGAUUAUAUGUAAAACACUUAUCUUCUUUGAUAUAUAAAUCAAAGGGCUGAUGAUGCAUUUCCAUUCCAUUCAUACCAAUUGUAGCAGGGACGGACAAAGAAAAAACAUACCUUUAUUUGAUCAUCAACUUGAAUUGUUUCAGUAGCAAUGAUAGGUCCAGCAUCGAGAGCACGAACGGUGAAUGCUAAUGACACUCCAGUUUCUUUAACACCAUCCUAGUGUACAAAUCAAUAUAAACCACCAGCAAAGUAAGUUAAUGAAAUAGAAACAUUGAGAAUCUAGGCACUGACGAAAGAAAUGGGGGGAACCUGCAAUGCCCUUUGAACAGGAGCAGCGCCACGAUACAAUGGCAGCAGGCUAGGGUGAAUGUUGACUGUUCCUGAGAUAUUUGCAAAUGGAAAGGUGUCACAGAGGUCUAUUUUUUUUUUUUCUUUUUUAUAGAUUUAGCAAUGACGUGGCUGGCAUUAGAGGAGGGAGUCACAAACCCAAUGAAGGAAUAUCUAGAAACUUGGUAGGUAAUAUAUUGCCAUAGGCAGCUGUAAUGCACAGGUGAGGUUGCAAAGCUUUUAAAUUUGACAAAAAAGCAUCCUGCAGGAAUUGAAUAUGAUGAGAAAGAAACAAAUUUAGGAAAAGAAACGCAAUAAACAGAAUAGGAUAGAAAAGCUAGGUACGUCUCCAGCUUUAUCGGGAGUGAAAAUGAGAUCGGGGGAGAAGCCCCUGUCAAGAGCAUGAGUGGCCAAGGGAGAGAGGGCGAGCUUCUUGCCUCUGUCCCUUCUAGCAGGUGGCUGAGUCACGAUGGCCGCAACCUGAUGAAUUGCAUACACAGUGUAAACAUGGAAUGAACGUUGAAUUACAAGGAAAUGGCGUGUGUAUGGGAUGAGAAACCUCGAAUAAAGAAUGUGGAGAAGCAGAGGCGUUGAGAAGCUUGUCAAGGACUAUGGCGGAGACCUGAAAAGCAGAGAAUGAAGUGAAACAGAAAAAGGUGAAGAAGGUAGCAUGAGUGCUCGGAGAGACAGAGGGAGACCUGAGGUGCGCCCAAGAAGACAAGGGGCUUCUUGGUGGUGGUGGAAGCAGAAGAGAAAGGGAGGAAAGGAGAGACGCUCUGCAAACAGCACAACCGACGAAUCAUGGUGGUUGCGGUUGUGGCUGUGGCGGUUGAGGGCAUAGAACCACACCACCUGUAGCUAUGCAUUUCUACUUCCCUUCCUUCUCUCUCUCUUUCAUAUCACAAUUAUACAUAAAUUUUUUUAAUCAUUUCAACAUAUUAAAAAUUAAAAAUAGUAAAGGUAAUUUUUUUUUUAAAUGGUUUACACAAGAAAAAAAGAAAAUAUAUAAUUAAUUAGCCAAAUAUUAAUUUUGAAAAAAGAACCGAAUUGAAACCCCUCUCUCCCCUUUAUCUUAUCCAUCUCUCAUUCUCACUCCUUGGUUUGCAGAACAGGGGUAAGUAACAUAGCAUAACAGACAUGGCUGUUUCUCUGUCGGUGAACCGUCCUCUCCUUCGUCUUCACCACAAGCAUCCACCUUUACCGGUGGNCAUCNCUCCCCAACUCCAUUUCCACUGUCANCCCAAGCUCGCCGGAAUUCGAUGCUCCUCCUCGCCCUCCCAUUUUACNGACAAAACCCUCAUUUCCAUCAAACCUAACACUUCCCACAUCAACGACAACCCCCUCGCUUGUCGCUUCCACGCUUCCCAGUUUGGAGGUACGCUCUUUCUCUUUCUCUUUCUCCUUCAUUUUUAUUGACCCUUCUCCAUAACAUGCUUCUUCCAUCUCUCUUCUGAUUUCAACAUCGCAACCCUNACCUAACUAUUUACUUACUCAAUUCUCGUGUUUGCGCCUACAUCAAAUAUUAGCCCCAAUUUAUUGUAUUACAUUGUAAUGUGNCUUCUUCUCACCAUCUAUAUCCUGCAUUUAGAUAUGUUACAGUCAGAAGGGUAUCAAACGGACCUUUUUCUUCACAUUGUGUGUCCUUCUUUCAUCUUGUUUCCAGGGGUAAAAUUCAGUAAUCAGUAUUGUAUUGUGAAUACCCAAUUUCACAUUAUGAAUGUUAUUUGUCAACAUGGUUUUAUUCAGUAAUCAGUGUUGUGUCGUCAAUUCCCAAUUCCUAUGGCUGCUUAAUGAUUUGAGAGUUCUACAAGUUUUAACCUUUGCAUUAGUUAUACAAGGUGCACGUCAACCUUAUCUAUCAUCUGGUGCAUUCCAACGCCAAUCGGAUGCCUUUGCCUCUCAUUCACUUCUUGAGACUAUUUUUCAACUGUAGUAUAAACUUAGUGGCGAUUCUUUAAUUCUUGAAAGUUUACUGUCAAGUGUUUAGCUUUUUACAUUUUACGGGUCUAGUUGUAUCUCUAAUAUUCCAUCAUGUGUAUCUUAAUCUGGUGAGAGAUGUGCAGCUUAGAAGGAAUUGGGAAAAGAUGUAAUCGAUAUUUAAAUUUAAUGCUGGUGCAGGACAGGAGAGCAGCAAAUCCGUGGAAGCGUACGCUAUUGGGCGAAAUAUUCGCAUGUCUGCUAAUAAAGCUCGAAGAGUGAUCGAUCAGAUUCGUGGACGAAAAUANGAUGAAACACUUAUGAUAUUAGAACUAAUGCCUUAUCGAGCCUGUGAAGCCAUUCUGAAGAUAGUGUUUUCUGCUGGUGCAAAUGCUACCAAUAACCUGGGUUUAAGCAAGGGAAGUUUAGUUAUCAGUAAAGCAGAGGUUAAUGAAGGAAAAACAAUGAAAAGGGUAAAACCUGUGGCUCGAGGGCGUGCUCAUCCAAUUAAAAAGCGCACUUGUCAUAUAACCAUCACUGUAAAAGGCUCACCAAGUGAGUCCAUCGUGGAAGCGAGC